UGGGGAAUUUUGGACAAUGGGCGAAAGCCUGAUCCAGCAAUGCCGCGUGUGUGAAGAAGGCCUUCGGGUUGUAAAGCACUUUUGUCCGGAAAGAAAUCCUUGGCUCUAAUACAGUCGGGGGAUGACGGUACCGGAAGAAUAAGCACCGGCUAACUACGUGCCAGCAGCCGCGGUAAUACGUAGGGUGCAAGCGUUAAUCGGAAUUACUGGGCGUAAAGCGUGCGCAGGCGGUUUGCUAAGACCGAUGUGAAAUCCCCGGGCUCAACCUGGGAACUGCAUUGGUGACUGGCAGGCUAGAGUAUGGCAGAGGGGGGUAGAAUUCCACGUGUAGCAGUGAAAUGCGUAGAGAUGUGGAGGAAUACCGAUGGCGAAGGCAGCCCCCUGGCCAAUACUGACGCUCAUGCACGAAAAGCGUGGGGAGCAAAACAGGAUUAGAUACCCUGGUAGUCCACGCCCUAAAACGAUGUCAACUAGUUGUUGGGGAUUCAUUUCCUUAGUAACGUAGCUAACGCGUGAAGUUGACCGCCUGGGGAGUACGGUCGCAAGAUUAAAAACUUAAAGGAAUUGAC
rnacentral:rRNA from 1 species